rnacentral:rRNA from 1 species
GUAGUCAUAUGCUUGUCUCAAAGAUUAAGCCAUGCAUGUCUAAGUAUAAGCGCUCAUACUGUGAAACUGCGAAUGGCUCAUUAAAUCAGUUAUCGUUUAUUUGAUAGUACCUUUACCUGGAUAACCGUGGUAAUUCUAGAGCUAAUACAUGCUAAAAAUCCCGACUUCGGAAGGGAUGUAUUUAUUAGAUAAAAAACCAAUGCCCUUCGGGGCUCCUUGGUGAUUCAUAAUAACUUCACGAAUCGCAUGGCCUUGCGCCGGCGAUGGUUCAUUCAAAUUUCUGCCCUAUCAACUUUCGAUGGUAGGAUAGUGGCCUACCAUGGUCUCAACGGGUAACGGGGAAUGA